UGUAUAGAUAACCUGCCCUUAAGAAAGGAAUAACAGUUGGAAACGACUGCUAAUGCCCUAUAUGCCUUUAAUACAUAAGUAUGCAAGGGAAACGCUUUAGUGCUUAAGGAUGGGUCUGUAUGGUAUCAGCUUGUUGGUGAGGUAAUGGCUCACCAAGGCUAUGACGCCUAACUGGUUUGAGAGGAUGAUCAGUCACACUGGAACUGAGACACGGUCCAGACUCCUACGGGAGGCAGCAGUGGGGAAUAUUGCACAAUGGACGAAAGUCUGAUGCAGCAACGCCGCGUGGAGGAUGACACAUUUCGGUGCGUAAACUCCUUUUAUAUAGGAAGAUAAUGACGGUACUAUAUGAAUAAGCACCGGCUAACUCCGUGCCAGCAGCCGCGGUAAUACGGAGGGUGCAAGCGUUACUCGGAAUCACUGGGCGUAAAGAGCGUGUAGGCGGGUAUAUAAGUCAGAAGUGAAAUCCUAUAGCUUAACUAUAGAACUGCUUUUGAAACUGUAUACCUAGAAAUGUGGGAGAGGUAGAUGGAAUUUUCUGGGGUAGGGGUAAAAUCCGUAGAGAUCAGAAGGAAUACCGAUUGCGAAGGCGAUCUACUGGAACAUUAUUGACGCUGAGACGCGAAAGCGUGGGGGAGCAAACAGGAUUAGAUACCCUGGUAGUCCACGCCCUAAACGAUGUACACUAGUUGUUGUGAGGCUCGACCUUGCAGUAAUGCAGUUAACACAUUAAGUGUACCGCCUGGGGAGUACGGUCGCAAGAUUAAAACUCAAAGGAAUAGACGGGGACCCGCACAAGCGGUGGAGCAUGUGGUUUAAUUCGACGAUACACGAAGAACCUUACCUGGACUUGACAUAGUAAGAACUUUCUAGAGAUAGAUUGGUGUCUGCUUGCAGAAACUUAUAUACAGGUGCUGCACGGCUGUCGUCAGCUCGUGUCGUGAGAUGUUGGGUUAAGUCCCGCAACGAGCGCAACCCUCGUCAUUAGUUGCUAACAGUUCGGCUGAGAACUCUAAUGAGACUGCCUACGCAAGUAGGAGGAAGGUGAGGACGACGUCAAGUCAUCAUGGCCCUUACGUCCAGGGCUACACACGUGCUACAAUGGGGUAUACAAAGAGCAGCAAUACGGUGACGUGGAGCAAAUCUCAAAAAUAUCUCCCAGUUCGGAUUGUAGUCUGCAACUCGACUACAUGAAGUUGGAAUCGCUAGUAAUCGUAGAUCAGCUUG
rnacentral:rRNA from 1 species